AGCAGCCGCGGUAAUUCCAGCUCCAAUAGCGUAUAUUAAAGUUGUUGCAGUUAAAAAGCUCGUAGUUGAAUUUCGAGACCGGCUUACUGGUCGUGCUUUUGUACGUACUGGUAUAAUCGGUUUCUCCUUUCUGACGAACUUUAAUGCCAUUAAUUUGGUGUUUUAGGGAAUCAGGACUGUUACUUUGAAAAAAUUAGAGUGUUUAAAGCAGGCUCACGCUUGAAUACAUUAGCAUGGAAUAACGGAAUAGGACGUUUGAUUCUAUUUUGUUGGUUUCUAGGAUCGACGUAAUGAUUAAUAGGGAUAGUUGGGGGCAUUAGUAUUCAAUUGUCAGAGGUGAAAUUCUUGGAUUUAUUGAAGACUAACUACUGCGAAAGCAUUUGCCAAGGAUGUUUUCAUUAAUCAAGAACGAAAGUUAGGGGAUCGAAGACGAUCAGAUACCGUCGUAGUCUUAACCAUAAACUAUGCCGACUAGGGAUCGGAUGAUGUUAAUUUUUAAUGACUCAUUCGGCGCCUUACG
rnacentral:rRNA from 1 species